rnacentral:lncRNA from 1 species
UUACCAGUUCUAAUUAAUUACUUUCUAACUGGUUCAUCGAAGGUAACCAUAAGAUUAGUGUGCAACCCAUGAGAGACUGAUAACUAAGUAGCAACCAAAAUCUAGGACUCAAAAGUAGUGAGCCAGUCUCUGACAUUCACCAAAUCUCCACUUGAAAGCAAGAUUAGUGAACAAGGUUUGUCAGUAACAUGGUGCAGAUGUUAGUCAACAAAAACAUGCAAAAGUUAUCAGAUUCAAUCUAGUAUAAAACCAGCCCUUGUGCAAGUGCCACAAAAACACCCACGCAAGAGAUCUCAAGGUAGCUUAUACCAAGAAACAUAUCAGAAGUGAUAUCCUGAUGCCUCCCAACCCUAUACUUGCUACUUGAAGUUAGCUCGAAGUAACAAUAGACAUUGUACUUUCUCAAGCAGUGGCACACAAAAAAUGAUUCACAUGGACUCCCUGGCUCUCCCUGUUUUGGGCUCUAUAUAUAGAUGCAUGGAAGACAUAAACAGCUCAUAAAGGAGGUGAUUGUUUAGCUUAUUCAAGAAGAAAUCAAAUAACAUGUUGUAAAUAAAAAUAUUUUAUAAAUAAAACAUUAUAUAUGUGUUUUUAGUGAUUUAAAAGUUAAAGUUAAAAAAUAAACUAUGAUAAAAAAAUACCAAAAUUUACUCUAAAUUUAAAGUUACCAAAAUUUACUCUAAAUUUAAAGUUAAAAAUUCAAGUUUUAACUUAUAAGUAUAGCCAGAAGAGAAACGACAGUACUGAAAAUCCCUCCAAGAAUAAGCUCCUUAUGAAGGCCUUUGUACCACCAGGACCGUGCCGGUGCAAGAUGUGCCCAAAAAUUACGGUGCCCAAAUCUACACUUAGUACUAAAUGUAUACUUAAUUAGUAACAAAUUACAGUGCCCAAACAGAAAAGGAAGAAAAGCCCAGAGAGAUUACAGGGCCCAGUCCGAUGCCAGGUGCUUGACACAAGGCUAAUUACUCGCCAACUGCAUGGACCGGAACUCCCUGUUUCCUAAUCUCUGUUAUUCGUAUCUGCAAGAACCCAAUUUCCAGGUUGCAACACCAGCAAGUAAAAUGUAUGUCCCCUGUCCUCCACAAACCAUGAGUUUUAUACACAUCUAGAUCGUCUAUCAUCAUGUAGUCUCUAAAUAUAAUUGUAGAUUCUAUUGAAAUAAUACUAAAAAGAUUAUGCUUUUCAGCACAACCUGAUUCAAUUCAUUGCUUGUGUAUACCUUUAGUGUUUUAGCAUUUCUGUAAGGUGUGUUCAUAAGACUCAUAAGGAACAUA